GAUGAACGCUAGCUACAGGCUUAACACAUGCAAGUCGAGGGGAAACGAUGAGAGAGCUUGCUCUCUUAGGCGUCGACCGGCGCACGGGUGAGUAACGCGUAUCCAACCUGCCCAUUACAGGGGAAUAACCUUGCGAAAGUAAGACUAAUGCCCCAUGGUAUUCUCAGCAGACAUCUAAUGAGGAUUAAAGAUUUAUCGGUAAUGGAUGGGGAUGCGUCUGAUUAGCUUGUUGGCGGGGUAACGGCCCACCAAGGCAACGAUCAGUAGGGGUUCUGAGAGGAAGGUCCCCCACAUUGGAACUGAGACACGGUCCAAACUCCUACGGGAGGCAGCAGUGAGGAAUAUUGGUCAAUGGACGGAAGUCUGAACCAGCCAAGUAGCGUGCAGGAUGACGGCCCUAUGGGUUGUAAACUGCUUUUGUAUGGGGAUAAAGUUAGGGACGUGUCCCUAUUUGCAGGUACCAUACGAAUAAGGACCGGCUAAUUCCGUGCCAGCAGCCGCGGUAAUACGGAAGGUCCAGGCGUUAUCCGGAUUUAUUGGGUUUAAAGGGAGCGUAGGCUGGAGAUUAAGUGUGUUGUGAAAUGUAGACGCUCAACGUCUGAAUUGCAGCGCAUACUGGUUUCCUUGAGUACGCACAACGUUGGCGGAAUUCGUCGUGUAGCGGUGAAAUGCUUAGAUAUGACGAAGAACUCCGAUUGCGAAGGCAGCUGACGGGAGCGCAACUGACGCUUAAGCUCGAAGGUGCGGGUAUCAAACAGG
rnacentral:rRNA from 1 species